rnacentral:rRNA from 1 species
AUGAACGCUAGCUACAGGCUUAACACAUGCAAGUCGAGGGGCAGCAUGGUCUUAGCUUGCUAAGGCCGAUGGCGACCGGCGCACGGGUGAGUAACACGUAUCCAACCUGCCGUCUACUCUUGGACAGCCUUCUGAAAGGAAGAUUAAUACAAGAUGGCAUCAUGAGUCCGCAUGUUCACAUGAUUAAAGGUAUUCCGGUAGACGAUGGGGAUGCGUUCCAUUAGAUAGUAGGCGGGGUAACGGCCCACCUAGUCUUCGAUGGAUAGGGGUUCUGAGAGGAAGGUCCCCCACAUUGGAACUGAGACACGGUCCAAACUCCUACGGGAGGCAGCAGUGAGGAAUAUUGGUCAAUGGGCGAGAGCCUGAACCAGCCAAGUAGCGUGAAGGAUGACUGCCCUAUGGGUUGUAAACUUCUUUUAUAAAGGAAUAAAGUCGGGUAUGCAUACCCGUUUGCAUGUACUUUAUGAAUAAGGAUCGGCUAACUCCGUGCCAGCAGCCGCGGUAAUACGGAGGAUCCGAGCGUUAUCCGGAUUUAUUGGGUUUAAAGGGAGCGUAGAUGGAUGUUUAAGUCAGUUGUGAAAGUUUGCGGCUCAACCGUAAAAUUGCAGUUGAUACUGGAUAUCUUGAGUGCAGUUGAGGCAGGCGGAAUUCGUGGUGUAGCGGUGAAAUGCUUAGAUAUCACGAAGAACUCCGAUUGCGAAGGCAGCCUGCUAAGCUGCAACUGACAUUGAGGCUCGAAAGUGUGGGUAUCAAACAGGAUUAGAUACCCUGGUAGUCCACACGGUAAACGAUGAAUACUCGCUGUUUGCGAUAUACGGCAAGCGGCCAAGCGAAAGCGUUAAGUAUUCCACCUGGGGAGUGCGCCGGCAACGGUGAAACUCAAAGGAAUUGACGGGGGCCCGCACAAGCGGAGGAACAUGUGGUUUAAUUCGAUGAUACGCGAGGAACCUUACCCGGGCUUAAAUUGCAGAUGAAUUACGGUGAAAGCCGUAAGCCGCAAGGCAUCUGUGAAGGUGCUGCAUGGUUGUCGUCAGCUCGUGCCGUGAGGUGUCGGCUUAAGUGCCAUAACGAGCGCAACCCUUGUUGUCAGUUACUAACAGGUUCCGCUGAGGACUCUGACAAGACUGCCAUCGUAAGAUGUGAGGAAGGUGGGGAUGACGUCAAAUCAGCACGGCCCUUACGUCCGGGGCUACACACGUGUUACAAUGGGGGGUACAGAGGGCCGCUACCACGCGAGUGGAUGCCAAUCCCCAAAACCUCUCUCAGUUCGGACUGGAGUCUGCAACCCGACUCCACGAAGCUGGAUUCGCUAGUAAUCGCGCAUCAGCCACGGCGCGGUGAAUACGUUCCCGGGCCUUGUACACACCGCCCGUCAAGCCAUGGGAGCCGGGGGUACCUGAAGUGCGUAACCGCGAGGAGCGCCCUAGGGUAAAACUGGUGACUGGGGCU